CCCGCAGGCCCCGGGGCAGCCGGGGGCUGGCAACUUUCUUUCCAUGUUUUGGAGCAUCAGAGAGGGUCUAAGUGCCAGUUUGAUUUUCCAGCAAAUCACUCACUGCCUUUGGACUCAGGAUGGCAGCACCGACCCCCACGAACCUGUUGUGCUGUCACAGUAUUACCAAGGCAGGCGAGGUCCUAAAUGAAAGCAAAAGAUCGACAGCCUACCUGAGAGACUUUGCCAGAUCCAGUUGUGGUAAACACAAAUUUUGCAAACUGAUAACACUGAAAGCACAUCUGGGACUUGGUACACAAGCAUGCUGUGGCCUAUGUGACGACUACUGAAGCAUGAAUACAUACUGCCAAGUUGUACCGGGCAGGACAAAAAAUGUGAUCUGAGGCAUUCAAGCGCGUUGGACACCCUCGUGCCAUGAAAGGAACUAAAUCCAUCCCUCUUCAAGUCAGGCAGCAACUCCUCUGUCACAGCACAGGAUGUCUCUGAACUGGAGUUGUUGGUUACAUUUCUGCAUCUGCACUAGAGAGUGAGCUCCUAGUCUUUGUCUCUGGAGAGCCUAAAGAAGAAAGGCAAUGGAUUUUAUCCUGGGAGCAAAUUCUACUCUUGUGCUUGGAUGCCAUGGUGAGAAGGGUUGUGGGGUCGCAUCAAGGUUUGGCAAGAAAGAAUACAAGAUGAUUAAUAAUUGAGUCUCCUUGUAUGCACAUAUGCAUAACCCAUGGACACUGACAAUAGGAUGCUGAAGG